UACGUAGGGUGCAAGCGUUGUCCGGAAUUAUUGGGCGUAAAGAGCUUGUAGGCGGUUUGUCGCGUCUGCUGUGAAAUUUCGGGGCUCAACCCCGAACUUGCAGUGGGUACGGGCAGGCUAGAGUGUGGUAGGGGAGGCUGGAAUUCCUGGUGUAGCGGUGAAAUGCGCAGAUAUCAGGAGGAACACCGAUGGCGAAGGCAGGUCUCUGGGCCACUACUGACGCUGAGAAGCGAAAGCAUGGGGAGCGAACAGG
rnacentral:rRNA from 1 species